rnacentral:rRNA from 1 species
UGGGGAAUAUUGCACAAUGGGCGCAAGCCUGAUGCAGCCAUGCCGCGUGUGUGAAGAAGCCUUCGGUUGUAAAGCACUUUCNGCGAGGAGGAAGGUGGUGAACUUAAUACGUUCAUCAAUUGACGUUACUCGCAGAAGAAGCACCGGCUAACUCCGUGCCAGCAGCCGCGGUAAUACGGGGGAGUGCAAGCGUUAAUCGGAAUUACUGGGCGUAAAGCGCACGCAGGCGGUUUGUUAAGUCAGAUGUGAAAUCCCCGGGCUCAACCUGGGAACUGCAUUGAAACUGGCAAGCUAGAGUCUCGUAGAGGGGGGUAGAAUUCCGGGUGUAGCGGUGAAAUGCGUAGAGAUCUGGAGGAAUACCGGUGGCGAAGGCGGCCCCCUGGACGAAGACUGACGCUCAGGUGCGAAAGCGUGGGGA